CUGAUCCAGCCUACCGCGUGUGUGAAGAAGGCCUUCGGGUUGUAAAGCACUUUAAGCAGGGAGAAAAAGUUAUAAGUUAAUACCUUAUAACCCUGAUGUUACCUGCAGAAUAAGCACCGGCUAAUUCCGUGCCAGCAGCCGCGGUAAUACGGAAGGUGCAAGCGUUAAUCGGAAUUACUGGGCGUAAAGCGCGCGUAGGUGGUUUGUUAAGUUGGAUGUGAAAGCCCUGGGCUCAACCUAGGAACUGCAUCCAAAACUAACUCACUAGAGUACGAUAGAGGGAGGUAGAAUUCAUAGUGUAGCGGUGGAAUGCGUAGAUAUUAUGAAGAAUACCAGUGGCGAAGGCGGCCUCCUGGAUCUGUACUGACACUGAGGUGCGAAAGCGUGGGUAGCGAACAGGAUUAGAUACCCUGGUAGUCCACGCCGUAAACGAUGACAACUAGCUGUUGGGAGACUAUGUCUUUCAGUGGCGCAGCUAACGCUUUAAGUUGUCCGCCUGGGGAGUACGGCCGCAAGGCUAAAACUCAAAUGAAUUGACGGGGACCCGCACAAGCGGUGGAGCAUGUGGUUUAAUUCGAUGCAACGCGAAAAACCUUACCUACUCUUGACAUACUUGGAGGCUCUUGUAAUGAGAGUGUGCCUUUUGGAACCAAGGUACAGGUGCUGCAUGGCUGUCGUCAGCUCGUGUCGUGAGAUGUUCCGUUAAGUCGGAUAACGAGCGCAACCCUUACCCUUAUUUGCCAGCGAUUCGGUCGGGAACUAUAAGGGGACUGCCGGUGAUAAACCGGAGGAAGGGUGAGGACGACGUCAAGUCAUCAUGGCCCUUACGAGUAGGGCUACACACGUGCUACAAUGGGAGAUACAGACGGACGCUAAGCCGCGAAGGUGGUGCUAAUCCUAAAAAGUCUUUUCGUANNCCGGAUUGGANNCUGCAACUCGACUUCCUUGAAGUCGGAAUUCCCUAGUAAUCC
rnacentral:rRNA from 1 species